UAGUUUAUCGGAUCCACUGAGAGAAUAA
rnacentral:piRNA from 1 species